rnacentral:rRNA from 1 species
UGGGGAAUUGUUCGCAAUGGGCGCAAGCCUGACGACGCAACGCCGCGUGGAGGAUGAAGGUCUUCGGAUUGUAAACUCCUGUUGAUCGGGACGAAAAGCCUCAACCUAAUACGUUGGGGACUGACGGUACCGGUUGAGGAAGCCACGGCUAACUCUGUGCCAGCAGCCGCGGUAAUACAGAGGUGGCAAGCGUUGUUCGGAAUUACUGGGCGUAAAGGGCGCGUAGGCGGCCUUCUAAGUCGGACGUGAAAGCCCCAGGCUUAACCUGGGAACUGCGUCCGAUACUGGGAGGCUUGGAUUCGGGAGAGGGAUGUGGAAUUCCAGGUGUAGCGGUGAAAUGCGUAGAUAUCUGGAGGAACACCGGUGGCGAAGGCGGCAUCCUGGACCGAGAUCGACGCUGAGGCGCGAAAGCUAGGGGAGCAAACG